rnacentral:snRNA from 1 species
AUUGCUUCUCGGCUUUUUGGCUAAGAUCAAGUGUAGUGUCUGUUCUUACCAGUUUAAAAAUCUGUAUUUGAUGUUGAUUUUGUUGAUUUUGCUUUUUCAGCAUUCCUAGAGACCGACCUUCCACCCACACCUGCCCUCCCACCCCCGGGCACUUAACUAUGGACAUUUA